rnacentral:rRNA from 1 species
UUAGUAAUUGCGAAUGAACAAGGAUAUGCUUAGCUUGACAAAUGGAGCUAUUGGCUUUGAAUUGUAUUGUGGAAAUGUAUUACCAACAGAGGUGCAGGUGCCAGCCUAUUGAAAUAAAGCGUCAAUGAGGGUGAGAAUCCUGUUUGUCAUGUGCAGCCCUUUGUGCACGGUGUAUAUUUGCUGAGUCACACUCCUUGGCAUUGGAAUGCAAAGUGGGUGGUAAGUUUCAUGUAAAGGUAAACAUGCAAUUGAGACUGAUAGCACACAAGUACCAUGAGGGAAAUAUGAAAAGGACUUUGAAAAGAGAAUUAAAUGAGUUUGUAUUUGCUGAACACAAAGUAAACAGACUUGAUUUGCUUGGUGGGAGUGUUGCACUUGCUUGACAAGAGCUUUGGGCUGUGGGUGUAAUGAUUCUUUCUUUGCAUGCCAGUUUCUAUUUGUACAUCUGAUUACCUUUGCACAUGAAUGAUAAGUCUCCUGUGGGGGGUGGAUUGCAUGUGCAUGUAAUGAUUUGUGUUUUGAUAAAUGUGUCUGGUGUAUGUGUGUGUUCCUGUGCUUGGGGAUGCUUCCUUCCUUGGACUUACAAGCCCUGACACACACAUGCUGGCAAAAUGCUUCUGCUUGACCCGUCUUGAAACACGGACCAAGGAGUCUAACAGAUGUGCAAAGUUUGAAGGUGGUAUACCUUUGUGUGCAAUGAAAGUGUCAGCUGGGAUAUGUGCACCAGCACCCAAUUAAUUAGCGGACAGAGGUUUGAGUUGGAGCAUAUCUAUUAGGACCCGAAAGAUGGUGAACUAUGCCUGAACAGAAUGAAUUCAGAGGAAACUCUGAUGGAGGUUCGUAUCGAUACUGACGUGCAAAUCGUUCGUCAUAUUUGGGUAUAGGGGCGAAAGACUAAUCGAACCAUCUAGUAGCUGGUUCCCUCCGAAGUUUCCCUCAGGAUAGCUGGAGUUGCUCAGUUUUAUCAGGUAAAGCGAAUGAUUAGAGGAAUUGGGGACAGGUUUGUCUUUGACCUAUUCUCAAACUUUAAAUGGGUAAUAUGUAGUGGUUGCUGUAUGGAACUUCUAAGAUAAAUGGCAAUAUUGGGUGGGCCAUUUUUGGUAAGCAGAACUGGCGAUGAGGGAUGAACCUAA